rnacentral:lncRNA from 1 species
GGACCAAUAGUGGUAGUAGUAGUAGUAGUAGUAGUAGUAAUAGUAAUAGUAAUACCAGUAGUAGUAAUAGCAGUAGUAGUAGUAGUGCCAAUAGCAGUAGUAGUACCGAUAGUAGUGGUGGUGGAGGUAGUGGCAGUACCAAUAGUAGUAGUACCAAUAGUAGAAGUAGUAGUACCACCAAUAGUAGUAGUACUGGUGGUGGUAGUAGUAGUAGUAGUACCAAUAGUAGUAGUAAUAGUAGUACCAAUAGUAGUGGUGGUGGUGGUAGUAGUACCAAUACCAGUAGUAGUAGUGGUAGUGCAGUAGUAGUAGUAGUAGUAGUAGUAGUACCACUACUAGCAGUAGUAGCAGUAGUAGUAGUGGUGGUGGUAGUAGUAGUACCAAUAGUAGUAGUAGUGGUAGUAGUUGUGGUAGUGGUAGUUGUAGUGGUAGUGGUGGUGGUGGUGGUUGUAGUAGUAGUAGUAGUGGUAGUUGUGGUGGUAGUUGUAGUGGGGGUGGUGGUGGAAGUAGUUGUAGUGGUGGUGGUAGUGGUGGUGUUUGUAGUAGUGGUAGUAGUAGUGGUGGUAGUUGUAGUAGUGGUAGUUGUAGUAGUGGUGGUGGUGGUGGUGGUGGUGGUGGUAGUUGUAGUGGUGGUAGUGGUGGUGUUUGUAGUAGUGGUGGUAGUAGUGGUGGUGUUAGUAGUGGUAGUUGUAGUAGUGGUAGUAGUAGUAGUAGUAGCGGUGGUAGUAGUGGUAGUUGUAGUUGUAGUAGUAGUGGUAGUGGUAGUUGUAGUAGUGGUAGUUGUAGUAGUAGUGGUGGUGGAGGUGGUAGUUGUGGUAGUAGUAGUAGUGGUAGUUGUGGUAGUAGUAGUAGUGGUAGUUGUGGUAGUUGUAGUAGUGGUGGUGGUAGUUGUAGUAGUGGUGGUGGUAGUUGUAGUAGUAGAGUGGUAGUUGUAGUAGUAGUGGUGGUGGUAGUAGUGGAAGUAGUAGUAGUGGUAGUUGUAGUGGUGGUGUUAAAAGUUGUAGUAGUGGUGGUAGUGGUAGUAGUGGUAGUUGUAGUAGUGGUGGUGUUAAAAGUUGUAGUAGUGGUGGUAGUGGUAGUAGUGGUAGUUGUUGUAGUGGUGGUGGUGGUGGUGGUAGUUGUAGUAGUAGUGGUAGUUGUAGUGGUUGUGGUAGUAGUAGUGGUGGUGGUUGUAGUGGUAGGUGUAGUGGUGGUGGUGGUGGUGGUAGUUGUAGUAGUAGUUCCACUAGUAGUAGUAGUAGUAGUAGUAGUAGUAGCAGUACCAAUAGUAGUAGUAGUAGUGGUGGUGGUAGUUGUAGUAGUGGUGGUGGUAGUUGUAGUAGUAGAGUGGUAGUUGUAGUAGUAGUGGUGGUGGUAGUAGUGGAAGUAGUAGUAGUGGUAGUUGUAGUGGUGGUGUUAAAAGUUGUAGUAGUGGUGGUAGUAGUGGUAGUUGUAGUAGUAGUGGUGGUGGUAGUUGUGGUAGUUGUAGUAGUUGUAGUAGUAGUAGUAGUAGUAGUAGCAGUACCAAUAGUAGUAGUAGUGGUGGUGGUAAUGGUAGUUGUAGUAGUAGUGGUGGUAGUAGUAGUGGUGGUGGAGGUGGUAGUUGUAGUAGUGGUAGUUGUAGUAGUAGUGGGGGUGGUGGUAGUUGCAGUGGUGGUGGUAGUUGUGGUGGUGGUAGUAGUAGUAGUAGUGGUGGUGGUAGUUGUAGUGGUGGUGGAGGUGGUAGUUGUAGUAGUAGUGGUGGUGGUGGUAGUUGUGGAGGUGGUAGUUGUAGUAGUAGUGGUGGUGGUAGUUGUGGUAGUUGUAGUAGUUGUAGUAGUAGUAGUAGUAGUAGUAGCAGUACCAAUAGUAGUAGUAGUGGUGGUGGUGGUAGUAGUUGUAGUAGUAGUAGUGGCGGUGGUGGUGUUAGUUGUAGUGGUGGUGGAGGUGGUGGUAGUUGUAGUGGUAGUAGUAGUAGCAGUAACAAUGGUAGUACCACUAGUAGUAGUAGUAGUAGUAGUAGUAGCAGUACCAAUAGUAGUAGUGGUGGUGGUGGUGGUAGUUGUAGUGGUGGUGGAGGUGGUGGUUGUAGUAGUAGUAGUGGUGGUGGAGGUGGUGGUUGUAGUAGUAGUGGUGGUGGUAGUUGUAGUAGUAGUGGUGGUGGUGGUAGUUGUAGUAGUAGUGGUGGUUGUGGUAGUUGUAGUAGUAGUGGUGGUGGAGGUGGUGGUUGUAGUAGUGGUGGAGGUGGUAGUUGUAGUGGUGGUGGUAGUUGUAGUAGUAGUAGUAGUACCACUAGUAGUAGUAGUGGUGGUGGUGGUGGUGGUAGUUGUAGUAGUAGUAGUAGUACCACUAGUAGUAGUAGUAGUAGUAGUAGUAGCAGUACCAAUAGUAGUAGUAGUGGUGGUGGUAAUGGUAGUGGUGGUAGUAGUAGUGGUGGUAGUAGUAGUGGUGGUGGAGGUGGUAGUGGUAGUAGUAGUUGUAGUAGUGGUAGUUGUACUAGUAGUGGGGGUGGUGGUAGUUGUAGUGGUGGUGGUGGUAGUGGUAGUAGUAGUAGUGGUGGUGGUAGUUGUAGUAGUAGUGGUGGUGGUGGAGGUGGUGGUUGUAGUAGUAGUGGUGGUGGUAGUUGUAGUAGUAGUGGUGGUGGUGGUAGUUGUAGUGGUGGAGGUGGUAGUUGUGGUGGUGGUGGUAGUUGUAGUGGUGGUGGAGGUGGUGGUAGUUGUAGUGGUAGUAGUAGUAGCAGUAACAAUGGUAGUACCACUAGUAGUAGUAGUAGUAGUAGUAGUAGCAGUACCAAUAGUAGUAGUGGUGGUGGUGGUGGUGGUAGUUGUAGUGGUGGUGGAGGUGGUGGUUGUAGUAGUAGUAGUGGUGGUGGUAGUUGUAGUAGUAGUGGUGGUGGUGGUAGUUGUAGUAGUAGUGGUGGUGGUAGUUGUAGUAGUAGUAGUAGUAGUAGUACCACUAGUAGUAGUAGUAGUAGCAGUACCAAUAGUAGUAGUAGUGUUGGUGGUAGUUGUAGUAGUAGUAGUAGUAGUAGUAGUAGUAGUAGCAGUACCAAUAGUGGUGGUAGUUGUAGUGGUAGUAGUAGUAGCAGUACCAAUGGUAGUACCACUAGUAGUAGUAGUAGUAUCAGUACCAAUAGUAGUAGUAGUGGUGGUGGUGGUGGUAGUUGUAGUAGUAGUGGAGGUGGUGGUUGUAGUAGUAGUGGUGGUGGUAGUUGUAGUGGUGGUGGUUGUAGUGGUGGUGGUAGUUGUGGUGGUGGUGGUAGUUGUAGUAGUAGUGGUAGUUGUAGUAGUAGUGGAGGUGGUGGUUGUGGUGGAGGUGGUAGUUGUAGUAGUAGUGGUGGUGGUGGUAGUUGUAGUAGUAGUAGUACCACUAGUAGUAGUAGUAGUAGCAGUACCAAUAGUAGUAGUAGUGGUGGUGGUAGUAGUUGUAGUAGUAGUAGUGGCGGUGGUAGUGGUGGUGUUAGUUGCAGUAGUAGUGGUGGUGGUAGUUGUAGUAGUAGUGGUGGUGGUAGUUGUUGUAGUAGUGGUGGAGGUGGUAGUUGUAAUAGUAGUGGUGGUGGUAGUAGUAGUGGUGGUGGUGGUGGUAGUUGUAGUAGUAGUAGUAGUAGUAGUAGUACCACUAGUAGUAGUAGUAGUAGCAGUACCAAUAGUAGUAGUAGUGGUGGUGGUUGUAGUAGUAGUGGCGGUGUUGGUGGUGGUGUUAGUUGUAGUGGUGGUGGUGGUAGUAGUAGUAGUAGUAGUAGUAGUAGUAGUAGUAGUAGUAGUAGUAGUAGUAGUAGUAGUAGUAGUAGUAGUAGUGGUGGAGGUGGUGGUAGUUGUAGUGGUAGUAGUAGUAGCAGUACCAAUAGUAGUACCACUAGUAGUAGUAGUAGUAGUAGUAGUAGUAGUAGUAGCAGUACCAAUAGUAGUAGUAGUGGUGGUGGUGGUAGUUGUAGUGGUGGUGGUAGUUGUAGUAGUACCACUAGUAGUAGUAGUAGUAGCAGUACCAAUAGUAGUGGUGGUGGUAGUAGUAGCAGUACCAAUAGUAGUGGUGGUAGUAGUCGUAGUGGUGGUGGUAGUACCAGUAGUAGUAGUAGUGGUGUUGGUAAUAGUAGUAGUAGUAGUAGUAGUAGUGGUGUUGGUAGUAAUAGUUGCAGUAGUAGUGUCAUUGACCAUGUGAUGGUUUACUAAUAGUUUUUCCCAGUGUCCACAGAAGUGUGGAGGUUGGACAUCUGUUUCCUCUUCUUUCCUCACCCUCUUCCUGCUUUCCUCUCAUCUCUCCAUCGCGGGGCCAGAAUGAGCUAAUAAUGAGCCAUGAUGAGUGUUCCUCAACAGACCGAAGGGAACUUAACAAGAAGAGAGGAAGAAGUGCAGGUCUUCAGGUUGUAAUGUGAAUAGCAGGACAGACUGCUCAUUAAAGCAGCUCACUGCAUCGUCACAAACACACAGGGGCUUUUAUGAGAACAGAACAGAGGAAGGCC